rnacentral:hammerhead_ribozyme from 1 species
AUCCAGCUGGGAAACGAGUCUCAAAUAGGACGAAAUGCGCAUCCUGGAU